rnacentral:rRNA from 1 species
CAAAAACAUCGCCUCCUGCAAAACUUACGACGUAUAGGAGGUCCUGCCUGCCCAGUGACUAUUUGUUAAAUGGCCGCGGUAUCUUGACCGUGCUAAGGUAGCGCAAUCACUUGUCUUUUAAAUGGAGACCUGUAUGAAUGGCAAGACGAGGGCUUAACUGUCUCCUCUUUUUGGUCAGUGAAAUUGAUCUACCCGUGCAGAAGCGGGUAUGAGAAUACAAGACGAGAAGACCCUUUGGAGCUUAAGACCCAAGACCAAUCCUGUCAAGCUAUUAACUUAAUAUUAAUAAAAACAAUUAAGAUACCUGGUCCACGUCUUCGGUUGGGGCGACCACGGGGGAAAACAAAGCCCCCAUGUGGAAUGGGGUUCACACCCUAGAUCUAAGAGAGACAUCUCUAAGCCACAGAACAUCUGACCUAAUUAGAUCCGGCCCUUUUGGCCGAUUAACGAACCAAGUUACCCUAGGGAUAACAGCGCAAUCCCCUUUAAGAGUCCAUAUCGACGAGGGGGUUUACGACCUCGAUGUUGGAUCAGGACAUCCUAAUGGUGCAGCCGCUAUUAAGGGUUCGUUUGUUCAACGAUUAAAGUCCUACGUGAUCUGA